rnacentral:rRNA from 1 species
UACGUAGGGCGCAAGCGUUGUCCGGAAUUAUUGGGCGUAAAGAGCUCGUAGGCGGCUUGUCACGUCGGGUGUGAAACCCGGGGCUCAACCCCCGGGGCGUGCAUUCGAUACUGCGCGGCUCGAGACAGGUAGGGGAGAGUCGGAAUUCCUGGGUGUAGCGGUGAAAUGCGCAGAUAUCAGGAGGAACACCGAUGGCGAAGGCAGGUCUCUGGGCCGGUACUGACGCUGAGGAGCGAAAGCGUGGGGAGCGAACAGG